UACGUAGGGUGCAAGCGUUAAUCGGAAUUACUGGGCGUAAAGCGUGCGCAGGCGGUUUUUGUAAGUCUGUCGUGAAAUCCCCGGGCUCAACCUGGGAAUUGCGAUGGAGACUGCAAGGCUAGAAUCUGGCAGAGGGGGGGUAGAAUUCCACGUGUAGCAGUGAAGUGCGUAGAGAUGUGGAGGAACACCGAUGGCGAAGGCAGCCCCCCUGGGUCAAGAUUGACGCUCAUGCACGAA
rnacentral:rRNA from 1 species